GGGCGGGUGGCUCAGUUGGUUAGAGCAACUGGUUUACACCCAGUAGGUCGCAGGUUCGAGUCCUGUCCCGCCCACCA
rnacentral:tRNA from 1 species